rnacentral:rRNA from 1 species
AUUGAACGCUGGCGGCAUGCCUUACACAUGCAAGUCGAACGGCAGCAUGAUCUAGCUUGCUAGAUUGAUGGCGAGUGGCGAACGGGUGAGUAAUACAUCGGAACGUGCCCUGUAGUGGGGGAUAACUAGUCGAAAGAUUAGCUAAUACCGCAUACGACCUGAGGGUGAAAGUGGGGGACCGCAAGGCCUCAUGCUAUAGGAGCGGCCGAUGUCUGAUUAGCUAGUUGGUGAGGUAAAGGCUCACCAAGGCGACGAUCAGUAGCUGGUCUGAGAGGACGAUCAGCCACACUGGGACUGAGACACGGCCCAGACUCCUACGGGAGGCAGCAGUGGGGAAUUUUGGACAAUGGGUGAAAGCCUGAUCCAGCAAUGCCGCGUGUGUGAAGAAGGCCUUCGGGUUGUAAAGCACUUUUGCCCGGAAAGAAAUGGCUCUGGUUAAUUCCUGGGGUCGAUGACGGUACCGGAAGAAUAAGGACCGGCUAACUACGUG